UACGGAGGGUGCAAGCGUUAUCCGGAUUCAUUGGGCGUAAAGGGCGCGUAGGCGGUGGGGCAAGUCUGGUGUGAAAUCUCGGAGCUCAACUUCGAAAUUGCACUGGAUACUGCUCUGCUAGAGGGCUGGAGAGGAGAUCGGAAUUCACGGUGUAGCAGUGAAAUGCGUAGAUAUCGUGAGGAAGACCAGUGGCGAAGGCGGGUCUCUGGACAGUUCCUGACACUGAGGCACGAAGGCCAGGGGAGCAAACGGG
rnacentral:rRNA from 1 species